GUGAACGCUGGCGGCGUGCCUAACACAUGCAAGUCGAACGAUGAUGGAGAGCUUGCUCUCCUGAUUAGUGGCGCACGGGUGAGUAUACCAUAGAUAAUGUACCUCUUAGUUUGGGAUAGCCACUGGAAACGGUGAUUAAUACCAGAUACUCCUUCUCGUUAUAAGACGAGUCGGGAAAGUUUUUUCGCUAAGAGAUCAGUCUAUGUCCUAUCAGCUAGUUGGUGAGGUAAUGGCUCACCAAGGCUAUGACGGGUAUCUGGUUUGAGAGGAUGAUCCGCCACACUGGUACUGAGACACGGACCAGACUCCUACGGGAGGCAGCAGUGAGGAAUAUUGCACAAUGGGGGGAACCCUGAUGCAGCAACGCCGCGUGGAGGAUGACGCAUUUCGGUGUGUAAACUCCUUUUAAGAGGGAAGAUAAUGACGGUACCUCUUGAAUAAGCACCGGCUAACUCUGU
rnacentral:rRNA from 1 species